UGUUUUUUCGUAUCGUAGGCAGGGCUCGAAGUUCCUUAGGAGAGAGAGACUCAGAAAUGGCAACACAAGCACUUGUAUCUUCUCUUACCUCUUCAGUGGAGACUGCCAGACAAAUACUACGAGCAAAACCAACCCAGUCUUCUUUUGGGUCCUCAAGGAAGAGCUCCUUUGUUGUUAGGGCAUCUUCUACUCCUCCUGUUAAGCAAGGAGCAGAUAGACAACUAUGGUUUGCUUCCAGGCAAAGUCUUUCUUACUUGGAUGGCAGUCUUCCAGGUGACUAUGGAUUUGAUCCGCUUGGUCUUUCAGACCCUGAAGGUACAGGAGGAUUCAUUGAGCCAAAAUGGUUAGCCUACGGUGAGGUCAUCAAUGGAAGAUAUGCCAUGUUGGGGGCAGUAGGUGCCAUUGCACCAGAAAUUCUUGGCAAGGCUGGUCUCAUCCCCCAAGAAACAGCCCUCCCUUGGUUCAAAACUGGUGUGAUCCCACCUGCCGGUACAUACGACUACUGGGCAGACCCAUACACACUGUU
rnacentral:misc_RNA from 1 species